rfam:Gossypium hirsutum cultivar TM-1 chromosome 2, whole genome shotgun sequence
UGUUCAAAGUUUCAUUCAUUUUUACUGUUAAAACUGGGGUAGCUGACAAUAUAACCAUACAUUUACAUGUGGAGGGACCGGUUUUUAACAGUAAAAAUAGAUGAUAUUUUUAACA